rnacentral:lncRNA from 1 species
CCUUAUUCACCAAUUUAUUUUCUUCUUUAGCCUUUUCCUCCUCUGGGGUAUUUUUCACAUUUGGUCCUUUAUCUUUUUAUAUUUAUAUUUUGAAUAUUUACACUAAUGCCACAACCAUUUUCACAUUUUUAUGAUUUAGUCCCUGCCUUAAAUUAAUAUGUCAUGUCACACUUCUUGGUUUAUCUUCCUUUGGUAUCCAACGGGCUUUACUUUUGUCGAUCUUGCACCUUAUUUUACUAAGAAUCUA